CUUAUGUGCUCCAUGGCUUUAAAUAUACUAAAGGCUGAUGACUCCAGAAAUUUUAUCUCCAGCCCAGAUCUUUACCAGAGCUCUAGAUUAAUAUAUCCAACUUGCUACUGACAUCUCCAUUGGGAUGAUAAUGAGUAUCUCGAAGGUAACAGAUCUCAAAUGUAAUAUCUGAUAUUUCUCUUAAUACUUGUUCCUUGGCCGGGUGUGGUGGCUCAAGCCUGUAAUCCCAGCACUUUGGGAGGCUGAGGCGGGUGGAUCAUGAGGUCAAGAGAUCGAGACCAUCCUGGUCAACAUGGUGAAACCCCGUCUCUACUAAAAAUACAAAAAAAAAUUAGCUGGACAUGGUGGCAUGUUCCUGUAAUCCCAGCUACUUGGGAGGCUGAGGCAGGAGAAUUGCCUGAACCCAGGAGGCAGAGGUUGCAGUGAGCCGAGAUCGUGCCAUUGCACUCCAGCCUGGGUAACAAGAGCGAAACUCCUCAAAAAAACAAAAAAACAAAAAAACAAACUUUAUCCUUAUGGGGAAAACAUAUUUAAAAGGAUACUGGAUCUUACAUGACAGAACAUGGAAGGAAAGAAAAGUGGAGAGAGGACUCAAGAUGGCACUGUCAGAACAACCCAGGAUUGAAGCUCUCAGUGAAUGCGUGGAGAGAAUGUAUGGCAAGGUCUAUGUUCCUUUCCCUUGGAUCUGGAUGCACCUUCUGACUGCUUGACAAAUAGAAUACGGUAAAAGUGACCAUGUUGCUGGGACCAGGCCUUAAAAAAUUGGAGGUUUCCUCUUCCUGUCUUCUAGGACACCCUUCUUAGUGACCAUACAAGAAGUCCAACUACCCUGAGACCCUCAUGUAGGGAAGAUCAUGUAUAGGCACUCCAGUGGUCCUUCCUGCUGAGCCCAGUCUUCCAGUCAUGCUUGGCAAGGUGCCAGACAUGUGAAUGAAGCCCCUUGGACCUUCUAGACAAGCUGUUACCUAAUCUGAAUUUCAUCAGGUGACCUCAGCCAAGGCCACAUGGAGCAAAAAAAGUGUUCAGACACUGCCUGAAUUCCUGAGCCAGUAAUCAUGAGAUAUAAUAAAAUGGUUGAUAUUUUAAACCCGGCAUGUUGGGUAAAUUGUUAAGCAGCAAUAAUUAACAAAACA
rnacentral:lncRNA from 1 species